AGAGUUUGAUCAUGGCUCAGAACAAACGCUGGCGGCGUGCCUAAUACAUGCAAGUCGAACGAGGAAGUAUCUUCGGAUAUUGUACUAGUGGCGUACGGGUGAGUAACGCGUGGAUAAUCUUCCUCUAGGUGGGGAAUAACCAGUCGAAAGAUUGGCUAAUACCGCAUAAGACCACAGGGGCUUCGGUCCAAGGGGUUAAA
rnacentral:rRNA from 1 species